UGGACCAGUGAUGCCCACUGGUGGGUAGGAGUCAAAUAUGGUGAAGACUACGUGUCUGUGACUCUGAGUCCAC